rnacentral:misc_RNA from 1 species
CGGCUAUUAUAGAAGUGAACAUUCUGAUAGAGACAGAAUACAUUAAUCAUAUUGAACAGUAAAGCUAGCAUGAAAGAUGAAUCAAGGGUAAACUAGAUUUUCCAUAAAGUGAAUUACCAAAAGAGAAUGUUAAUUCAAUAAUGUGCCAAAACAAAGUACACCAAGGGGAGAAAAAGAUUAGGAGAACAACGACAAGCUCAUUAGUUUUGGCUUUCCAAUGUUUCUUAAUGCAAAUUUCAACUAUCAUAUAGUUGAUUUUAAAGCAAGCAACAAAAGAAGUGCAAAAAGAAAAACAAGAAUAGCCUUCUAGUGGAUAAGCGCAAGAAAUCGCAACUAUAUGAUGUCAUUUUUGUCCAAACAUGACUUUCUAAAACAAGCUUUCAUACAAUGGGUCGAUCGUAAAAUAAAUAAACUUCUGGUGUUAAAAGAAAUGAAUGCUCCCAAACAUAUUCUCUAGGAGCACUUUGUUUCUCAUUCGCUUCAACUAGAAGCACAGAAUAAUUGUUCAUAGUAAAUGAGUAUAGGCUCAGCUUCUUGAUCUGUUGAAAUGAAAUCUAUUACUCCACUAUACCCAUAAAGCUUCCUAAGAUUAUGAAUGAUUAAUAUGUGGAAAAUGGAAUUAAUAUAGUUGCAAUCCAGUGAUCCACACUCUUCACUGUUUCCAUCGUAAUUAACAACAGUAGUUAGAGGUUUCAGUCCAAACUAAAAAUUCCAAAUCCAACUGACUCAACUAGCAAAAACCUACAACCUUAACUCCCAAAAUGAUGCAGGAAAAAAUUAUAGAGGCAAGAGAGGAAAGAAAGUCAUAAAAAUACUGAAGAACCAUAGCACAGGAAAGUGAACCAUCAUAGGAAAGGGGAUAGAGAAAGGAAAAAGCAAAAAAGGGAGCGGGGUGUAUUUAAACAGGAAAAGAGAAAGAAAGUCCUAAUUGCUUUAGAUAUUGUAUGCCCAACAACUGCAAAAAGCUUAGUACAACAUAAAUCACAUGCUUAACAAAUGAGCUACAACUCUUUAGAAUGACAAUAUUCCAUUUCUUUACUCAGACAAGAAGUUUUUCCCAACCACAUACAGUUUGAAAAACAGUAGCCAGGUUCAAUAAAACGUAAUUGAUUGAACUAAUCAUUGACAUAAAAGAAACAUACCCCUUCAUCACGUUGUUGCCUUAAUGACUUGAUAUUCUCAAAUGCUUUGUCCCUCUUCUCUGUCACAGCUGUCAGAUCAUCCUGUA